CCUACGGGGGGCAGCAGUGGGGAAUAUUGGGCAAUGGGCGCAAGCCUGACCCAGCAACGCCGCGUGAAGGAAGAAGGCUUUCGGGGUGUAAACCUCUUUUCGCAGGGAAGAAGCAAGUGACGGUACCUGAGGAAUAAGCCACGGCUAACUACGCGCCAGCAGCCGCGGUAAGACGUAGGGGGCAAGCGUUAGGCGGAUUUACUGGGUGUAAAGGGGGUGUAGGCGGGACUGGAAGUCAGACGUGAAAACCACGGGCUCAACCUGUGGCCUGCAUUUGAAACUGUAGUUCUUGAGUACUGGAGAGGCAGACGGAAUUCCUGGUGUAGCGGUGAAAUGCGUAGAUAUUAGGAGGAACACCAGUGGCGAAGGCGGUCUGCUGGACAGCAACUGACGCUGAGGCGCGAAAGCGUGGGGAGCAAACAGGAUUAGAUACCCGAGUAGUC
rnacentral:rRNA from 1 species